rnacentral:rRNA from 1 species
AUUGAACGCUGGCGGCAGGCCUAACACAUGCAAGUCGAGCGGAUGAAGAGAGCUUGCUCUCUGAUUUAGCGGCGGACGGGUGAGUAAUGCCUAGGAAUCUGCCUGGUAGUGGGGGAUACCGUUCCGAAAGGAACGCUAAUACCGCAUACGUCCUACGGGAGAAAGCAGGGGACGUUCGGGCCUUGCGCUAUCAGAUGAGCCUAGGUCGGAUUAGCUAGCUGGUGAGGUAAUGGCUCACCAAGGCUACGAGACGUAAGUGGUUUUGGAGGAUGCUCAGUCACACUCGAACUGAGACACGGUCCAGACUCCUCCGGGAUGCUGCAGUGGGGAAUAUUGGUCAAUGGGCGAAAGCCUGAUCCAGCCAUGCCGCGUGUGUGAAGAAGGUCUUCGGAUUGUAAAGCACUUUAAGUUGGGAGGAAGGGCAGUAAGUUAAUACCUUGCUGUUUUGACGUUACCGACAGAAUAAGCACCGUCUAACUUCGUGCCAGCCGCCGCCGUAAAAC